UUUACUUGAGUACAUGAGAUUUGUAUUCUGCCCAUCUCUGCUGGGGAAAGAUGCAAAUGUGGGAGUGAUGUGAGAGAGGAGUAAUGUGAAAAAGCGAGUGCCUUUAACACCUCUUGCGGCUUCGAAAUUAAGUUAUCGCUUUUAUAAUGUGUUUUAGCAUUUUAAUGAAGCCACUACCUCAUCUGAAGAGCCCAUGUGCAGAACGUCUUCAAGAAGGGAGAACAAACACCACCACCAGAAACCUUCAAUUACGUGGAUGACAUUAUGAAGUUGGUCUCCGAACAGGUUUUUCAGGAUCCAGCUCCGUAUUUAGAGGAGGUUGAAAAGAUCAACCUCCCACCAACCCUUUGGUCUCAGCAUCCAAGACCAGAAAAGCCAACAGUGGCUUCAGCCCAGGGGUCCGUUCUUCGUACGUCGCUAACUCAGUUAGCUGGAUUUGAUUGUUGACGAUUUGGCAUGAUCUUGGAUCGUUUGGUUCUUCCAAACUCAUCCUGGACUUGCUGUCAUAGCAACAUGUGCGCAAACUUAAGCCUGCUCGCAAAUAAUUAAUUUGUUGAAACCCCAAUUUAAGUGUUCAACGCGGAGGAGUCGGGCUUUGACAAUUGCGCAGACUGUGUGCAUUGCCCUCAGAUUCUUUGCGAAUGGCACUUUUCUGUACACUAUUGGCGAUGCAGAGAACUUGGUGAAGAGUGCUGUCUGUCGUGCCAUUCACAAAGUGUACCUGGCACUGAAGCAGUUUUUAGGGGUUUUUGUGGUAUUUCCAAGCCACUUAAGUGCCCAGGUUGUAAAGCAGAAUUAUAAAUUGUACAGUAACUUACCUGGACAUUUACAGUCCAGGACCGGUCUGAAUCCCUCAUCAUCUGGAGACACAUGCCUUAAUCCCCAGGACAACACACACUCUCCUACCCAGAUAUCCCCAACACCGGGACACAAACCUUCUGUAUGCACAAAACCUGUAA